CCGUCGCAACGGCUUCCUGACGCGGCGGGUGAAUAAUUAUCAUCGGAGCA
rnacentral:ncRNA from 1 species